UGGGGAAUAUUGCACAAUGGGCGCAAGCCUGAUGCAGCCAUGCCGCGUGUAUGAAGAAGGCCUUCGGGUUGUAAAGUACUUUCAGCGAGGAGGAAGGCGUUGUGGUUAAUAACCGCAACGAUUGACGUUACUCGCAGAAGAAGCACCGGCUAACUCCGUGCCAGCAGCCGCGGUAAUACGGAGGGUGCAAGCGUUAAUCGGAAUUACUGGGCGUAAAGCGCACGCAGGGGGUCUGUCAAGUCGGAUGUGAAAUCCCUGGGCUCAACCUGGGAACUGCAUCCGAAACUGGCAGGCUAGAGUCUUGUAGAGGGGGGUAGAAUUCCAGGUGUAGCGGUGAAAUGCGUAGAGAUCUGGAGGAAUACCGGUGGCGAAGGCGGCCCCCUGGACAAAGACUGACGCUCAGGUGCGAAAGCGUGGGGAGCAAACA
rnacentral:rRNA from 1 species